CCCCAACCUCUCAUAGCCCAUUUGGAACUGAGUAGAUUCUAGUCUUUUGCAAAGAAAGGAACCCAGGCUGUUUAGAAUGUGAAGUCCAAAGAGGAGAAGAAGCAGAGUAGCCAGCAGAGACCCCCCCCCGCCCCCAAGCCAUAGAAGCCAGGUGAGGCUCGGAAGAGCCUGCUGGACCCCACUCCUCAUCUACUUUGUUAGGUCUGGUCGGCUUUUUUUUUUGUUUUGAGGAAGAUUAGACCUGAGCUAACUGCUGCCAAUCCUCCUCCUUUUGCUGAGGAAGACUGGCCCUGAGCUAACAUCCAUGCUCAUCUUCCUCUACUUUAUACGUGGGAUGCCUACCACAGCAUGGCUUGCCAAGCAGUGCCAUGUCUGCACCUGGGAUCCAGGCCGGUGAACCCUGGGCCACCAAAGUGGAAUGUGUGCACUUAACUGCUGUGCCACCUGGCCUGUGGUUGGCCUUUUUUAUUUAACCAGUUAGCCUCUUUUUGUAGCCUGCUGGAGCUGUAGAUACAGGCGUCCAGGAGGAGCACGGGCCGGGGGAGGAUGAGGACAGGAGAGGGAGUCCCACCAUCUCCCUGGGGUGGGCCGCCAGCCCACCAGUGACUUCUCUUUGUGUCUCCGGAAUGAGAGCUUCAGGUCUGAGAGGGGCUCACAGGAGAAGUCAGGAUGCCUGGAGUUUCCAAGUUUUCUGGUCCGGGGUCCUCUUGACCCGGGUGUGGUGCACCCAAGGGGUGACCCUCUGUGCUUUCAGGACACAGCGAGUGGUUAGAACGACCAAAUGAGGCCCAUGCCACUUCGGAGGAAGCUGGUCUUGUGGACGUCCCCCAGCGACAUCAGGAGCUCAUCCCUUUGUAUGGAUUCCCCACAAUUUGUUUAUCCACUCCCCGGUGGAUGGGCACCUAGGUUGUUCCAGUUUUGAGAAACUAGGAGCACCCUGGUCUGAGCACUGUCCCCUGGGGUCUGGGACCACUUCUCCCUGUUCUCCCUGUUCUGGGCCUCAAUCUUUGCCCCGCACGUAGCCACCAGGAUUCCAUUAAAACCUAAACCCCAUCUUGUCCCUUCUCUUCUCUGUCUGAGCAGAGCAAAGGCCAGAGUCCUCAGCACACUCACAAAUUCACAUGCCCUUCCCCAUUAGCUUUGUGCCCUCGCCUCCCACGCUCUCCCCACACGCAUUCUCCGCCAGCCGCUCUGUGUUGCAGCUGUUUGUCCCUUGACCAUGCCGGGCCACGCCCCAGCUCAGGGUGGACCCCAGAUCCGGCCUCUGACCCAGAUCUGCGCUCGGCUCCUUCUCUCACCUCUGUGAAGGAAUAAGCUCCAGCAUCUCCUCGGACAGCCCUCCUGGACCUCCCAGCCGUGCACAGCCCUGCUCAGUCCCCAGAGGCCGCCCGUGUCCUCUCCCGUGGAUGCUGGUCGCCAGGCUCCCAGGACCUCUCCCAAAACCAUCCCCCGGCACCUAGUUGCUCCUUCCUCUGUGUUCCCCACUGUUAAUACUCCCAUUAAGGCUUGCUUGUCACACUGUGAAAAGACAAACUUCAAAGCUGCCUUCAGGGGCUGGCCCGGUGGUGCAGCGGUUAAGUUCGCACAAUCGGCUUCGGCGGCCCAGGGUACGCCAGUUCAGAUUCUGGGUGCAGACAUGGCACCACUUGGCAAGCCAUGCUGUGGUAGGCAUCCCACACAUAAAGUGGAGGAAGAUGGGCAUGGGUGUUAGCUCAGGGCCAGUCUUCCUCAAAAAAAAAAAAAGCUGCCUUCCAGGCAAUCAGGCCUGUGGAAUCCACGCACAUUCUUCAGAGGCUCAGACGUCAACGUUCUGGGCCUCUGUCUCCGUUCUCCCUCCCGUGUCUCCACCUGGGGCGGAUCACUUUGUCCGCACGAACUCGCUUCUUCCUCCAAGGAGCCAUGAUGAUAAGUCUGACCCUGCCGUGUGGGGGGGACUCAGGGAUGCAAGGCACAUAAAUUCCCUGGCACGGAGAAGAAACUCGAUAAAAGUUGGUUCCCUCCAUGCCGGGGGACGUCCCGAUGUGUCAGGCCUGGGGUUUCCGCUUGGGGAAUUUGUGGUCCAGUAAAGAGAGAAGAGUAAUGCUGUCGGGGCCAGAAGGGAGAGGAAAAUGGGGAGUCCCGACAGCCGGCUGCUUCCUGCUUGGGGCGGAAAGGUUUGCAAGCCUCAGUGGUUGCCUGAAUUACGUCGCUGGACCACACGAAGUCGCUGAGAUUCAACCCCCUUUUGAUCCACACAAAU
ensembl:lncRNA